UUGAGUAUGUGACAUGCUUCGCAAAUAAGUAUGCAUGAGAUUUUUCCGAUUUGUUCAUUUCGACUGCAGACCUGCGCAGAUUCACGUUGGGUUGACAGAACAGAAAAGCGUUUGAAGCAGAUACGAGCAAAGAAAUUGAUGCUUAGAUAUGGUGCCAAUAAGAACUACCUGUGAAACACCAGCAACUUAAAUAAAAAUAUGAAGAGAAAAUAGAGAGCAGACAUUUCCGUCAUAACACAUUAAAUGAUAACUGACAACAAGACCGCCUACUAGCAUUGUCCAUCGAUUAAGUCAAGAGGGAGAAAGAACCUGAGAAAAAUCAU